CCACGGUGAGGCCGGCGGCGGCGCGCUCUUCCUCGAGCCGCGUGGGGUCCAGGAGCCAGGUGGGCGCGGGCCCCGGCGCGAGGCUGAGCCCUUGGCCUGGCUCAGCAGCCCGGCGCGCGCGUACACGGGCCGUAGCCGCGUUGGGUCGCGGGUGCCGGGCGCCUCCUCCUCGUCGGCCGCGUACAGCUGCGGCGGCUGCGAUUCUUCAGGGCCGCGGAUGCGGCGGUGAUCCCCAGGCAUGGCGGUUCUUGGCGUGCGAACCCCUUCCGCCCAACGCCCUGCCGCAUCCACUGGUUCUUCCGUUGUUUAAAGACGCGCGGCUGCGCAUGGGCUGUCGAGAGAGCGGCGGGAGGCACUACAGCGCCCCUGGAGGCCCGGAGGGAGAACGGCCCGGUCCCAGUUGUGCAGGGUAGCCGGAUCCAUCCAUCUUGCUGGAAGGGAGGGGGGAGAGCAGCUCCAAGAAAGGCUUCUCUGCUUCCAACUACCUCCACCCCUCAUCUACUGAAUUAUGAACGCCUUGCUCCAAGUCACCCCACCUAUUUGGCCUCCACCUCCACAGACGUUUGAGGCAGCCCUAGGGGCUGUUCCCAAAAUUUUGGGUUCUGGGGCUGGACUAGGUGAACACCACAGCAGCCAGCAGGAGCCACAGCAUUUAUUCUACAGACGCCAAAGGCUGUCAAAAGAGCCAGCCCCUAUUGGGAAGAGGGAUAGAGAUCAUGCGGCAUUAAGUAUUGCACGUGGUCCUUUUAUUCUCUGCAGCAAAAACGAUUCCUACUUGCUGACGCGGAAAGCUCAGGUCUGGAGAGCCGUUAUCUAUAGAUGCGAGCGU
rnacentral:lncRNA from 1 species